rnacentral:rRNA from 1 species
GCGCGAAAGCGCGAUGAGGGAUCCCAAGUGCUUGCUCGCAAGAGUAAGCUGUUUCUUUGUUUAAAAUGCAUUGAGAGUAAGGGCUGGGUAAGACGGGUGCCAGCCGCCGCGGUAAUACCUGCAGCUCGAGUGGUGACCGCUAUUAUUGGGCCUAAAACGUCCGUAGCCGGUUUAAUAAAUGCCUGGGUAAAUCGUGUAGCUAAACUAUACGAAUUCCGGGUAGACUGUUAAACUUGAGACCGGGAGAAGCUAGAGGUACUCCUGGGGUAGAGGUGAAAUUCUGUAAUCCUAGGGGGACCACCAGUGGCGAAGGCGUCUAGCUAGAACGGGUCUGACGGUGAGGGACGAAGCCCUGGGGCGCAAACCGGAUUAGAUACCCGGGUAGUCCAGGGUGUAAACGCUGCUUGCUUGAUGUUAGUUGGGCUCUGAGCCCAAUUAGUGUCGGAGAGAAGUUGUUAAGCAAGCUGCCUGGGAAGUACGGCGCGAAAGCGCGCGAAAGCGCGCGAAAGCGCGCGAAAGCCA